rnacentral:lncRNA from 1 species
GUUUCUCAGGACUAGAGAUGCAAGUUUAAGUGAUAGUUACUCAAACACACAAUGGGAUUUAUAUUCUCCAAGAAAUCCAGCAAUGUUUAAUUUAUUGGGUGAUCUGAUUCACUUGCGUUGUCUUCUCUACCUGGCACCUAACAAAAUGUUCCACAAGAAUACACGGGUGGGUGGAUGGAUGUCAAGGUCAUGGCUAUUAUUGAAGCUUGAGGUGACUUGCAAAGGAGAUAAAUCCAAUGGGUGCCUGACAGAGUCAAGGGCGCCUAUGCUGUUUUAUCAUAACUCAUCUUGGUGGAUCAUUUCAUAGAUCAAGUUACCUGAUCGGUAGAACGAGAACCUGUCUCAAAGUAAAAUGGAUCACACGAGCCUCUAGCAACC